rnacentral:rRNA from 1 species
GAACGCAUAUUGCGGCUCCGGCUCAAUGCCGAAGCCCCGCCUGUCCGAGGGUAGGC